rnacentral:rRNA from 1 species
CCUGAUGGGUUGUUGCUGGUUCUCUAGGGAGCAUGUGCACACCUUGUCAUCUUUAUAUCUCCACCUGUGCACUUUUUGUAGACCUUUCAGGUCUAUGUUGCUUCAUUUACCCCAAUGUAUGUUAAUAGAAUGUUGUGCCUAUAUAAUAUAUACAACUUUCAGCAACGGAUCUCUUGGCUCUCGCAUCGAUGAAGAACGCAGCGAAAUGCGAUAAGUAAUGUGAAUUGCAGAAUUCAGUGAAUCAUCGAAUCUUUGAACGCACCUUGCGCUCCUUGGUAUUCCGAGGAGCAUGCCUGUUUGAGUGUCAUUAAUAUAUCAACCUUCUCUUUUUUGAGUUGUUUGGAUGUGGGGGUUUGCUGGCCUCUUAAAUGAUUCAGCUCCCCUGAAAUGCAUUAGCAGAACAACCUGUUCAUUGGCGUGAUAAUUAUCUAUGCUAUUGAAUGUGAGGGCAGUUCAGCUUUCUAACCGUCCUCGGACAAUUCAUCAUUAAUGUGACCUCAAAUCAGGUAGGACUACCCGCUGAACUUAAGCAUAUCAAUAGNCGGGAGGAACUUGGUCAUUUAGAGGAAGUAAGCGGAGGA